CCAACCCAUAACAUGGAGGGCUCUUUCCAUUCGAACCAUGGCCAUCUGAGCAGCAAGGCUUGCACAAACUUUUCUGUGUUAAGCACUCCAAGCCCCCACGUUCGUAUGGCCUCCACACGAAGUCCCAAUGGACCUUGCAUUUUACCCCUGUUGUCUUGUCAGAUCCCGCCCAAAGGAAACAUCUUUCCAGUUUGUUGGUACUAUGAAG
rnacentral:lncRNA from 1 species